GUGUAGCUCAGUGGCUGAGCAUUUGCUUUACCUGCAAAAGGUCUUUGGUGCAACCCCAGACAUCUCCU